UACAGAGGGGGCGAGCGUUAUUCGGAAUUAUUGGGCGUAAAGGGCGCGUAGGCGGCUUGGCAAGUCAAAGGUGAAAUCCCUCGGCUCAACCGAGGAACUGCCUUUGAAACUGCCUCGCUCGAGGCCGGGAGAGGGUAGUGGAAUUCCCAGUGUAGCGGUGAAAUGCGUAGAUAUUGGGAGGAACACCGGUGGCGAAGGCGGCUACCUGGACCGGUUCUGACGCUGAGGCGCGAAAGCGUGGGGAUCAAAC
rnacentral:rRNA from 1 species